CAACUUUCAACAAUGGAUCUCUUGGUUCUCGCAUCGAUGAAGAACGCAGCGAAUUGCGAUAUGUAAUGUGAAUUGCAGAAUUCAGUGAAUCAUCGAAUCUUUGAACGCACAUGGCACCCUCUGGUAUUCCGGAGGGUAUGCCUGUUUGAGUGUCAUUA
rnacentral:rRNA from 1 species